GCCCGCGUAGCUCAGAGGAUAGAGCAGGGGCGUCCUAAGCCCUGUGUCGGGGGUUCGACUCCCUCCGCGGGCGCCG
rnacentral:tRNA from 1 species